UGGUCAUGAAUAUGACCUUCCAUCUUCUUUUACCAAGUGCAACUCCAAGACUAGAAGUCACUAGCCUGAGAUAAUUAAAACCUGGAAUCACUCGCACAAAUGAUCAGAAGACAUUUAAAGAAGACAUUUUCAAGAAAAUGCUACAUGUAAAGGGAUGUGUGACAAAGUUUGAACUGGCAGCAAUGUGGUGAGAACAAGAUAUUGCUGAAGAUAUGUGACCUCAGUAGAAGGUUUAUUAGAUCUUCAAAUAAACAGCCUAUCUGCAUUCUGCUUCCAAAUGUCUCCAGAUGCAAAAGAGCCAAUUUCUUUUUUUUUUCUUUUUUCUUUUUUUUUUUUUUUUUUCCCAGGAUAUAUUACGUAGUGUCUGCUAUGUGAUUCGACUACUCUGAUGUGGUAUGCCCGGACCAAUAAGGAAAGGUAAAAUAAUUUCCAGUCUGAGAAACCUGAGUAAUUCCCCCUUCCUCCCCCGCAUUUUAUUUUUUUUUAUUC